GAGUCCGAGUCCAAGUCAUCGUGCGCGAGAAUUUACGAGUCCAAGUCUGAGUCGCGUCAAUCAGUGCGCGAGUCCGAGUUGAGUCACGAGUCCCGAAAAUCUGCACUCGAGUCCGACUUGAGUCCGAGUCCAGGACUCGAGUACUCCAUCUCUGGCAUUAGGUGCAUAAGUGUUACCUCAUAUGUUCUCUGUGUGUGUGUUUUGGCAGCUGUGUACGGAGCAUGAUGUGCCAGGAUUUGUCAAAUUCAAGAUGUUUGAUGCCAAACCCUCCUCUAAGACCAUCUCUGGCCUGCUGGAGUUUGAAAGCAAGACGGAGGCUGUGGAGGUUCUUACUGUUCUCAACCACUAUCAGAUCCGGAUCCCCAAUGGAUCCAACCCAUACACCCUGAAACUGUGCUUCUCCACUUCAUCUCAUCUAUAAAAUAAGAAGAGGCUUCUGAUGCUGGCUGACCUCUGAGCUCAGAGAGACACACCCAGAGGUGGAGGUUCAAACGAAAGACAGACUGAGAGAGAUGUGGCCUUUAGGAGAUAAGAUGAGUGGUGGACACUGUCACGCCAAACACACACACUCAUCCCCCGACCAAUCAGAGCAUAGCAUGCUACUCUAGAGAGUGGUGCAGUGUUUCUGUAGGCCAACCCAGAAGUUAGCCUCGCAAGGGCUCCCACAACAAAAAGACAAUGGGAUAUCUCCAUAUGAUUGCAGAAAAUAAUCGCUGUGUCAGACAAACAGUCAUGAUACUUAGAUGUUCUGUUCAGCAGGAUCAUCUCAACAUACUGUAUUAACACCACUUUAUGAUAUUUGUCGUGUAAAUGUUAUUGACAGAAGUAAAACGUUUUUGGCUAUAAAGGAACUACAUCACAGUCACGUCAAUGCCCGUCACCACCGCUAAGACAAAGGCAGACUCCGCAUGAUAAUGUUUAGGUUUAUUUAGUCUCUUGUUAGCUACCGCUGUUUUUAAGACAUUCACAAGUAUCGUAAUUACAGACUUCGUUUAUAUCUUUGAAUAAAACAAGAUCUCUAAAGCUUGUGUAACCACAGACAUGAUUUCAGGCUUCUAAAUAAAAACAUGUCCUAUGAACCUUUGACUUGGAGACGAGGGAACUGGAAGUGGAAAAUGCUAUGUCAUGUUUUAGGACUCAUUCCUGCACCACUCUCUAACGUCUAACUCACUCUAGGAAGUUUUUUUUCCAAACCUAAGUCCAGUUAAUUUGGUAAAGGUGGUGACUGAAACAAUAUUGUAAUAUUUAAAAACAGAUAAAUAUGGUUUGUUGUUUUAAAUUGUAAAUAAAGUAAAUGUGGCUUUGAUUUGAACAAAAGUUCUCAUGUUGGCUUCAUUAGUGCCAUUUAAAGAGCCUGUGACACGGGUUUCACCCAUCAUCCAAACCCAUCAAUUUGAGUAAAUAUUG